CAGCCGCCGCGGUAAUACGUAGGGUGCAAGCGUUAAUCGGAAUUACUGGGCGUAAAGCGUGCGCAGGCGGCUUUGCAAGACAGAUGUGAAAUCCCCGGGCUUAACCUGGGAACUGCAUUUGUGACUGCAUGGCUAGAGUGCGGCAGAGGGGGAUGGAAUUCCGCGUGUAGCAGUGAAAUGCGUAGAUAUGCGGAGGAACAUCGAUGGCGAAGGCAAUCCCCUGGGCCUGCACUGACGCUCAUGCACGAAAGCGUGGGGAGCAAACAGGAUUAGAGACCCCCGUAGUCCCUGUCUCUUAUAC
rnacentral:rRNA from 1 species